UGGGCACUGAAGCGCCUGAAUAAGGUGCUC
rnacentral:sRNA from 1 species